rnacentral:lncRNA from 1 species
AGUACUGGACGAGAGUUCGCAGCCUUUUUUGCCAAGAAGAAACCACAAAGGCCAAAGAAUUCUCUUUUCAAGUUUGAAUCAUCCUCCCAUGCUAUCAGUAUGAGCGCCUAUCUCCGAGAACAGAGAAGGGAGCUGUACAGUCGGAGUGGAGAACUUCAAGUUCGUCAUUUCUUUGGAGAAGAAAGUUUUUCGUGUAUAGAGUAUGAGGUCCUGAUGACAACUUAAUUGAAGGUGGAGGAACAAAAUUUGUCUGCAAACCUGGAGCCAGAAAUAUUACCGUCAUAUUCCAUCCACUGCUGAGCCUACCAAGCCUACCUACUGUGAGCAGUUCCACCCCACUGACAGCUUGCACUGAGAAGAGGUCAUCUCAUCUGUUUCUCUCCCUGUUGAGCCAAAUGAGAAAAACAUAUGGAGACAUUUUUAUUGGAUAAAUUACUGAGCAUUUUAAUUUUCUUCAUAUAUUAGCAAAGAGUUGGUUAGUCCACAUGUUGAUUUCUGUACUUUAAGUUUUAUGACUGGAUGACUGGGAAAUGCCUUUAUCCUUCAAGAUUCCUAAGGCCUUAGAUAUUUAAAAUUAAAAAAUCAAAUGUC